rnacentral:lncRNA from 1 species
GAGAAAUUUUACAAGUUCCAAGUGAUAACUAAUUAUAAUUUGUAUAUAAAUAUGACUCCAAAUGUGUCUUGGCCAUUUGAAUUUGCUAUUCUGCAAAUUGCCUUUAUAAAGCAUUUAUUUAUACAUUUCUCUUUUUGGAUUGUUUAUCUUAUUAAUUUAAAACAGCUGUUUAUGUUAAAGGGAGUAACUCCUUUUUUAAAAAACAUCCAUUCCUUGUCUCGACUUUGCAUGUGAUAUUAUCCCAUUCACAUAAUUUUAUUUUCUACAUGUUUAAAUGUGUAUUCUUUUACAGUUUCUGAAUUUUUAAUCUUAAAACUUAAACUUCACAUAUAAUAUUUUAAAGUGGUCUUCUGUAUAGUUUGUGUAUCUUUUGGGAAAAUGUUGCUUUGCUGAACCAGCGUGCAAUCCCCAAACUCCUCUCUCACUGCUUUAUCUUUUUUUUUUUUUUUUGAGACGGAGUCUCACUCUGUCGCCAGGCUGGAGUGCAGUGGCGCAAUCUCGGCACACUGCAACCUCUGCCUCCCGGGUUCAAGUGAUUCUCCUGCCUCAGCCUCCUGAGUAGCUGGGACUACAGGCACCCUCCACCACGCCCGGCUAAUUUUUUGUAUUUUUAGUAGAGACGGGGUUUCACCAUGUUGGCCAGGAUGGUCUUGAUCUCUUGACCUUGUGAUCCACCCGUCUUGGCCUCCCAAAGUGCUGGGAUUACAGGCAUGAGCCACCGUGCCCGGCUUACUUUAUCUUUUUUUAAAUUUAACUUUUAUUUUAAGUUCAGUAGUACCUGUGCAGGUUUGUUACACAGGUAAACCCAUAUCAUGGGGGCUUGUUGUACAUAUUAUUUCAUCACCCAGAACCCAUUAGUUAUUUUUCCUGAUCCUCUCCUUCUUCCCACUCUUCACCCUCCAGUAGGCCCCUGUGUGUGUUGUUUCUCUGUAUGUGUCCAUGUGUUCUCAUCACUUAGCUUCCAUUUAUAAGUGAGAACAUGUGGUGUUUGGUUAUAAGUGAGAAUAUGUGAUGUUUGGUUUUCUGUUCCUGCGUUAGUUUGCUAAGGAUAAUGGCCUUCAGCUCCAUCCAUAUCCCUGCAAAGGACAUGAUCUCAUUCUUUUUAAUGGCUGCAUAGUAUUCCAUGAUGUAUAUGUACCACAUUUUCUUUAUGCAGUCUACUAUUGAUGAGCAUUUAGGUUGAUUCCAUGUCUUUGCUAUUGUGAAUAGUGCUGUAACAUCAUCAUCUUCUGAAACUGGUAGUGGCCAAAUGACCUGCCUCAGCCCAAGAGAAGCAAAACACUUAAAUGUAUCCUAGGAAAACCUUUAUUUCCUAAGAAAAAAGACAGACUUAGCUGUCACCAUCAAUUCCAUCCCUUUUCCUGCCUUGUACAUUAUGCCUCCAGCAGUGGUGAUCUUCUUUCAAGCAUUGGGGAAAGGCCAAAAGAUUCACCAACACUGGUCUUGAUGUUAUUGACUCAAAAGUAGCAGCAACUUAACUACAGACUUUAGCUGUGUGAUAAAAAUAAACAUGUUUGGCAUAAAGCAUUCCAUUUUAUCUCUUUCUUAUUGUACCCGAAACCAUACCUAAACUUAUUCAGGCAAUGAAAUUUAUAAAAUAAUCCGUCCUUUUCCUACUAAAAUGAAUAUGAAAAUAUUUUAAAACCUUAGUAAACUAAAUACCUCACAUAAACCCGAGUAAGGUAAAGAGAUAAGAGAGAGCAAAAUUAUGUAAGAUUUGUA